rnacentral:rRNA from 1 species
GUAGGUGGCAAGCGUUGUCCGGAAUUAUUGGGCGUAAAGCGCGCGCAGGCGGUUCUUUAAGUCUGAUGUGAAAGCCCACGGCUCAACCGUGGAGGGUCAUUGGAAACUGGAGAACUUGAGUACAGAAGAGGAAAGCGGAAUUCCACGUGUAGCGGUGAAAUGCGUAGAGAUGUGGAGGAACACCAGUGGCGAAGGCGGCUUUCUGGUCUGUAACUGACGCUGAGGCGCGAAAGCGUGGGGAGCAAACAGGGAUUAGAUACCCUGGUAGUCCACGCCGUAAACGAUGAGUGCGUAAGUGUUAGGGGGGUUUUCCGCCCCCCUUAGUGCUGCAGCUAACGCAUUAAGCACUCGCCCUGGGAGUACGGCCGCAAGGCUG